GAAGAGUUCUCAUAUUCAUGUCACAUGAGAACUCAUGGUUGGGAUAAUGCAAAGUAGUCAUUUGACCUAAGGCAUCACAGUUGUCUUGUGGUUAAGUCCUUGAUCUUUGAUUUUGUCAAAGUCACCCCAUCGGGGUGUCCACGGCAUCGUUAGGGUUAAGCCACUUAGUCAUGGAGGCAAGUGAAUGCGCAACAAGGGAUCUCUAACCUUCAAACCGUUUGAGGGAGAAUACUCUAUGAUAUGAUUUAGAACCUCUGAUCAGAGUAUGAAUGAGAUUUAGGAAAGCGUUCCAAAUCACAUUCAAGGUAAUCAUAUAAGCACACGAAUCACAUUG
rnacentral:lncRNA from 1 species